rnacentral:lncRNA from 1 species
GUUGUCCAGACGACUGUAAAAGUUGUCUGGACGACUAGUUGGCCCUGGACGACUUAAACGUAAGUUGUCUGGACGACUAGUUGACCACAGAAGACUUAAUUUUAAGUCGUCCAGGGUCAACUAGUCGUCCAGACGAUUUAUAUUUAAGUCGUCCAGGGUCAACUAGUCAUCCAGACAACUUUUAUUUAAGUCGUCCAGGGUUA